rnacentral:rRNA from 1 species
UACGUAGGCAGCGAGCGUUGUUCGGAGUUAUUGGGCGUAAAGGGCGCGUAGGCGGCUUUUCAAGUGACGGGUGAAAUCCCUCGGCUUAACCGAGGAACUGCCUGUCAGACUGGAAGGCUUGAGACCGGGAGAGGUGAGUGGAAUUCCCAGUGUAGCGGUGAAAUGCGUAGAUAUUGGGAGGAACACCAGUGGCGAAGGCGGCUCACUGGACCGGAACUGACGCUGAGGCGCGAAAGCGUGGGGAGCAAACAGG